CUCCUUAUUAGCCUGUGAAGUUCUGAUCUGUGGUGUUUGGUGUCAUUCAGAACACACAGCUGCUAAUGCUGAGGGCUGAAGGAAUUCGCUCCUGGAGUAUUAACCCUUUGUUCUGCGAUCUGAACCAGCAACUGCGACUCUUUGUAACCCGGCAUCUGGCCCAGUUUUCUUCAGAAGUCAAAGAGCAAGGGGUGAUAAAUGCAAUGCCAGACUAUAAAGAAGGUCUCAGGAGGGAUCCAGGGGAUCACAGGCCUAUCAACCAGCUGUAAAUUCUGCUGAUCAAAUCAGUAAAAUAAUAAUAAAGGACAGAAUUAGUGCCCACCUGA